UCGUAAGUCAGACCACAACACUAAUAUAAAGAUUUUUCUUUUUACAAACUUUAGAUAAUCUCUCAUGUGAAUUAUCAUUUCAGUAAUUCGACCAGUGGUUAUCCCCGCAAAACUAAAAAAAAAUGGACCCAGUCGCCCGGUACCGGGAAAUAUGGAGGCGGCAGCCCCCACCCGGGGAGGCGGACCACCGCCUCCUCGGGUGGAACAUCCGGGUAUGUGUGGGAUGAGGCAUGAAGUUAUUACACCGUCAGUUUCAUUGUCCUGGGCAGCAAUGUUUGUUGGAAGUACUUAUGUGUUUUUUUAAUGUAUUUUUUUCAGGACCAGUUGGCUCGUGGACUUGUUCCUAAAACGGCAAGAAAGAACCUGCCAAAGUGAGUACCUAUGCAGUAGUAGCACCCAGAUUUUCAGUAUAAUGGUAUUUUGCAUUGCAUUGCUGUUCUGAUGCAGUUUUCUGUCUUCAUUUAUGUUGGAAGUGAUAAGUAGAGCCGUACGGUUUUUUUUCAGAAAUCUCUCAGUCAGACCGUGGUAUAUCAUGUUUAGGUGGAAACUAGUGAGCUAACUUCCUGCUAACUUCACGAAGCUCCUGACUACUUAACUAAGUGUUCUUUUUAAGAUUCAAGAUUAAGAUUAACAAGCAACCUGACAAUUAAUAACAAUAUGAGACAAUAUAAAAUCU